rnacentral:lncRNA from 1 species
GAAAUCUAAUUCACCGACUUGGUUCAAGGUGAUGUUCACUGUAUAUCUUUAGAUAUAUAUAGUCAACACUAAGUGGAGGUUCAAACCUGAAAGAUACCUUCACCCAUUGCAUAGUAUAGGAUGGCCAGCAUAUGAGGUUUAUAUUUAUUGAUUUUCACUUAUUUUAUACUUUUAAAUAAGUUUAAUGUUCUUAAAAUUUUAAAAUCAUG